CCUACGGGAGGCAGCAGUGGGGAAUAUUGGACAAUGGGCGAAAGCCUGAUCCAGCAAUGCCGCGUGAGUGAUGAAGGCCUUAGGGUUGUAAAGCUCUUUUACCAGGGAUGAUAAUGACAGUACCUGGAGAAUAAGCUCCGGCUAACUCCGUGCCAGCAGCCGCGGUAAUACGGAGGGAGCUAGCGUUGUUCGGAAUUACUGGGCGUAAAGAGUACGUAGGCGGUUAUUCAAGUCAGAGGUGAAAGCCCGGGGCUCAACCCCGGAACUGCCUUUGAAACUAGAUAGCUAGAGUCUUGGAGAGGUUAGUGGAAUUCCGAGUGUAGAGGUGAAAUUCGUAGAUAUUCGGAAGAACACCAGUGGCGAAGGCGACUAACUGGACAAGUACUGACGCUGAGGUACGAAAGCGUGGGGAGCAAACAGGAUUAGAUACCCUGGUAGUCCACGCCGUAAACGAUGAUAACUAGUUGUUCGGGCACUUGGUGCCUGAGUGACGCAGCUAACGCAUUAAGUUAUCCGCCUGGGGAGUACGGUCGCAAGNUUAAAACUCAAAGGAAUUGACGG
rnacentral:rRNA from 1 species